GCCCCGAGGUUCAUUAAUUACAAAACGGUUUCCGAUUACUUUAGUUAAAAAUUUGUAUUAACAUUCUUGGGAGUUAAAACAUUUGCCGUCGGAAAAACUAAGCGGUUUUCUAGAUGACCGGUUGGCCAGCCUGUUAAAUCCGGUUAAAUCAAGCUCGCAACAGCCUCUCAAAAAAAGGAGUCUUGGAAGCGCUGCGGGCAGUCGCCUUUAACAGAGAUCAGAAGAAAUUAGUUAAAGGCACGGCUGAUAAAUUGAAGACGUGUGCUAUCAAACUCUUGGCGUCGUCAAAGAGCAACAACAGUCGAGAUGUGGUCUUGGACGAGUUCCCGGAAUGGCUGCAACGUUCCAUGGGCCGGAUCAAAGACACCA